UGGGGAAUAUUGGACAAUGGGCGAAAGCCUGAUCCAGCCAUGCCGCGUGUGUGAAGAAGGUCUUCGGAUUGUAAAGCACUUUAAGUUGGGAGGAAGGGCAGUAAGUUAAUACCUUGCUGUUUUGACGUUACCGACAGAAUAAGCACCGGCUAACUCUGUGCCAGCAGCCGCGGUAAUACAGAGGGUGCAAGCGUUAAUAGGAAUUACUGGGCGUAAAGCGCGCGUAGGUGGUUUGUUAAGUUGGAUGUGAAAGCCCCGGGCUCAACCUGGGAACUGCAUCCAAAACUGGCAAGCUAGAGUACGGUAGAGGGUGGUGGAAUUUCCUGUGUAGCGGUGAAAUGCGUAGAUAUAGGAAGGAACACCAGUGGCGAAGGCGACCACCUGGACUGAUACUGACACUGAGGUGCGAAAGCGUGGGGAGCAAACA
rnacentral:rRNA from 1 species